rnacentral:rRNA from 1 species
GGGGAGUAACUAUUGGAAACGAUAGCUAAUACCGCAUAACAAUGGGUGACUCAUGUCAUUUAUUUUGUAAAGGGGCAAAUGCUCCACUACAAGAUGGACCUGCGUUGUAUUAGCUAGUAGGUGAGGUAACGGCUCACCUAGGCGACGAUACAUAGCCGACCUGAGAGGGUGAUCGGCCACACUGGGACUGAGACACGGCCCAGACUCCUACGGGAGGCAGCAUG